UGUUGACAAGCUGGAAAGCAUCCAGAGGAGGGCAACUAAAAUGAUCAAAGGUCUGGAGAACAAGCCCUAUGAGGAGCGGCUUAAAGAACUGGGCAUGUUUAGCCUGCAGAAGAGAAGGCUGAGAGGAGACAUGAUAGUCAUGUACAAAUAUGUGAAGGGAAGUCAUAGGGAGGAGGGAGCAAGCUUGUUUUCUGCUGCCCUGGAGACUAGGACGCAGAACAAUGGCUUCAAACUACAGGAAAGGAGAUUCCACCUGAACAUCAGGAAGAACUUCCUGACUGUGAGAGCUGUUCGGCAGUGGAACUCUCUCCCCCGGACUGUGGCGGAGGCUCCUUCUUUGGAGGCUUUUAAGCAGAGGCUGGAUGGCCAUCUGUCGGGGGUGCUUUGAAUGCGAUUUCCUGCUAUUUGGCAGGGGGUUGAACUGGAUGGCCCAUGAGGUCUCUUCCAACUCUACUAUUCUAUGAUUCUAUUAUUCUAUCUGGGGACCCACAGGUUGAGAACCACUGGGCUAGAUGAUGAUUAUGGUGAUUAUUAUUAUCUUUAUUUAUAUCCCACCUGCUCUACGCCUGCAAAACGUGGACGGUCUACAGACGUCACACUCAACUCCUGGAGUGUUUCCAUCAGCAUUGCCUCAGAAAAUCCUGCAAAUCUCUUGGGAAGACCAGCAAGCAAAUGUCAGCGUGCUUGAGGAAGGAAAGACCACCAGCAUUGAAGCGAUGCUCCUACGCCAUCAACUCCGCUGGACUGGCCACGUUGUGCAAAUGCCCGAUCACCGUCUCCCAAAGCAGUUACUCUACCCUGCACUCAAGAAUGGGAAACAUAAUGUUGGUGGGCAGGAAAAGAGAUUUAAAGAUGGGCUUAAAGCCAACCUUAAAAACUGUGGCAUAGACACUGAGAACUGGGAAGCCCUGGCCCUUGAGCGAUCUAAUUGGAGGUCAGCUGUGACCGGCAGUGCUGCGGAGUUAGAAGAGGGCUUAAGGGAGAAACGUGCCAAGAGGAAGGCCCAUCAAGCCAACCCUGGAAACCAAUGUCCUCACUGUGGUAGAACAUGCAGAUCAAGAAUAGGUCUCUUCAGCCAACUAAGAACCCACCCCUAAGACCCCACAGCUGGAAGACCAUCGUCCUCGAACUACGAGGGAUCGCCUAAGUAAGUAAGUAAUGGCCUCCUUGUGUCCAGGCAAUCUUUGAAAGGAGCUCUGCCAGAGAAGACUUCAUCUAUACUUCCUCCAUAAGACAAGAUUUCCUUUCAGAGUUGUAUCACUGAGCCAGGGAUGUGGAAAUUUGAACUGAGUAAUCAUGGGUCACACAUGGAGUUGUUGCAACCCCGCUGUCAAUGUCAGUCAUGUGUGUGAGGGUUCACACCUUUGCUAAGCGCUCUCACAGGCAGAAGAUGCAGGUUUAUAACAAACACAUGGGUAGAAGAGUGAUUGCACAUUUUCCCUCAUAACUGCUCUCUUUAUAAGAGACUUGAGUCCCCAUCAGGAAAUAGGGCAGGAUAGAAAUAAAGUUAUACUUACUUGCUUUAUUACUUUUUUUUUUUUAAAAAAAGAUAAACUUUAAAUCUGGGCUAGGCUAUGGUACAAAUGGACAUUGGAUAGGAUGCCAAGGCUAAGCAUCUCUUACCCUUGUAUCAAGUUGUUAAUUCAACUGCUAGCUUCAACUAGAUCCGAUCCACCCAGUCUAAUAAAUUUAACAGUACAGUAGAGUCUCACUUAUCCAACACUCACUUAUCCAAUGUUCUGGAUUAUCCAACGCAUUUUUGUAGUCAAUGAUUUCAAUACAUCAUGAUAUUUUGGUGCUAAAUUCGUAAAUACAGUAAUUGCAACAUAGCACUAAUGCGUAAUGAACUGCUUUUUCUGUCAAAUUUGUUGUAUAAUAUGAUGUUUUGGUGCUUAAUUUGUAAAAUCAUAACCUAUUUUGAUGUUUAAUAGGCUUUUUCUUAAUCUCUCCUUAUUAUCCAACAUAUUCGCUUAUCCAUUGUUCUGCUGGCCCGUUUAUGUUGGAUAAGUGAGACUCUACUGUAUAUACAAUUUUACCAGUUCUUUAUUUAUAUAAUUGGGACUAACAAUUGAAUUUGAGACCAGUUCUACCUUCUAAGUGUGCAGAGGCCUGUUAAUAAUGUACGAUCAUAGUGCAGAUUCUGCCAUGGCUGCAUCCUAUGGCAUCAACCCAGACUUUGGCAUCUUAGACAGAGACAACAGAGGAGAAUUCUCUGAUUCUUCCCCACUACAUUUUGAUAUUUAAUAUUUUAAAUUCCCACAUUAUAUACAAUAUACAAUUCCCACAUUAUAUACAAUAUCACAGAACAGCAACAAAUCACAAUCUAAAAUCCACCCACCCUCCUUCCCUAAGUCAAAGACAUUUAUGAAUUAGUUUGUAAAUAGAAGCAGUCUGAAGUAGUUUAGAGAAUUCUCUGGUUGCGGAUUCUAAGUUCCCUUCCUUAGACUUCCAAUCUAGUUGCCAAGGAAUGUUGCCAUAGAAAUAAACAUUGAAUUAUAAUGCCAUAAUUGUGUAGUGUGAAUUUGUCCCUGUUAAGCCAUGAUGGAGGUCACCAGUUUAAUGUUCAGGAAAUCACACAAUCAUAGUGCUGGAAAGGGGCUCAAUGAGUCAUCAACUCCAAUCUACUCAAUGCAAGAACUCCAGCAAGACCAUCUUCAGUAGAUAGCCAUCCAGCUCCUUUCUGAAGACAUUCAAAGGAGACCUCACCAGUUUUACAAGCAAUUGGGUCCAUUGCCAAACUGCUCUCACUGUUAAGAAGUUCCUUCUGAUGUUGCAUCAAAAUGUACCUUCUAAAUAAUGCCCUCCUUAAUGACAGGAGCACUUUGUGUAGUCGUAUCAACCUAGUAUUGUUUAUUGUGUGAAAUUCUGCCAAAUAUAAUAGAAAACAGGGCAACUACAAAGAUUUUUGGGGAAAAAGACAAGGGGCAAACAAUUAGAUGACAAGCGUUUUUAUUUUGCAAAACAAUCACUAUACAGCAACAAAUACAACUGCAAGUUGGAUUGAAAAACAUGAACUACCUACCACCAGCCAUUCAAGAAAUGCCUCUUUUAUGAUAACAGGCUCUAGAAUUAUCAGGAAAAAAAUAA